UGGGGAAUAUUGGACAAUGGGGGGAACCCUGAUCCAGCCAUGCCGCGUGUGUGAAGAAGGCCUUAUGGUUGUAAAGCACUUUAAGCGAGGAGGAGGCUCUCUUGGUUAAUACCCAAGAAGAGUGGACGUUACUCGCAGAAUAAGCACCGGCUAACUCUGUGCCAGCAGCCGGGGUAAUACAGAGGGUGCGAGCGUUAAUCGGAUUUACUGGGCGUAAAGCGUGCGUAGGCGGCUUUUUAAGUAGGAUGUGGAAUCCCCGAGCUUAACUUGGGAAUUGCAUUCGAUAACGAGCAGCUAGAGUAUGGGAGAAGAUGGUAGAAUUCCAGGUGUAGGUGUGAAAUGCGUAGAGAUCUGGAAGGAUACCGAUGGCGAAGGGAGGCAUCUGGCCUAAUACUGACGCUGGGGGACGAAAGCAUGGGGAGCAAACAGG
rnacentral:rRNA from 1 species